AUAAAGGCAGCAGAAUGAAGCAAUUUUAUUAAAGAAAAAGAUCAAGAAAAUUAAGAAAUGAAGUCCAUUCUGUUUACCUUUAUCUCAGCUAUUGGCCCCAUCCAUUCACCAUUGUCUUUCUUCGAUUAGAAUCAAUUAAAAAAUUCCACUCUUUGCUUCUUUCGUUUUGGGAUCUUUACAAAAGGCUUUAUCUGCAUCUCAUCUUCAGCUCAUUCCGAUACUCUAGAAGGACAUUUUCAAUGAUUGCUUGAGCAGC
rnacentral:lncRNA from 1 species